UACGUAGGGGGCGAGCGUUGUCCGGAAUCAUUGGGCGUAAAGAGCGUGUAGGCGGUUCGGUAAGUCGGCUGUGAAAGUCCAGGGCUCAACCCUGGGAUGCCGGUCGAUACUGCCGGACUAGAGUUCGGAAGAGGCGAGUGGAAUUCCCGGUGUAGCGGUGAAAUGCGCAGAUAUCGGGAGGAACCCCUAUGGCGAAGGCAGCUCGCUGGGACGUUACUGACGCUGAGACGCGAAAGCGUGGGGAGCAAACAGG
rnacentral:rRNA from 1 species